CCAAAAUAAGUGAGAAGUAUAUACGGCGCGUAUGAUAAAGAAGAUCGAGUGCUGGCAUCCGCGCUGUACUCGUGUUACCUGAUGUCAAAGGAGCUGGGUGAACAAGUUGAAACUUGUAGCGUAAAUAAGUAUGAACAGUUACUCGUGGAGAAAGACGUAGACACCGUUGACGGUUAAAAAUCAUCAUCAUAAUUUCGAAGGUGUAGCACUAAAAGCGAUGCCUGCUAAGUACUUUGAACAUGUCGAAUAAUUUAACAAACGUUAACGAAGAUGAUUUAUUCUACCCUUACGCGCAAGAUCCGCUUGCUGACUUCGAUGAAAGGUAUCCUGUUCAAGCGACUACCACAAAAUCGACGGCGCCUCAUGAUAAC